rnacentral:rRNA from 1 species
GUGAACGCUGGCGGCGUGGAUGAGGCAUGCAAGUCGAGUGGGUUUAGACCCACGGCAGACGAGGUAGGAACACGUAGGUACAUACCCCGAAGUCACGAAUAACCGGCCGAAAGGUCGGAUAAUACGUGAUGGUCACGAAAGUGUAAAGAUUUAUCGCUUCGGGAAUGGCCUGCGGGCUAUCAGCUAGUUGGUAAGGUAACGGCUUACCAAGGCUACGACGGCUAGGAGAGCUGAGAGGCUGACCUCCACCGAUGGAACUGCGACACGGUCCAUACUCCUACGGGAGGCUGCAGUCGAGAAUCUUCCGCAAUGGGCGAAAGCCUGACGGAGCGACGCCGCGUGAAGGAUGAAGUCCCUCGGGACGUAAACUUCUUUUAUGAGGGAGGAAAUUUUGACGUUACCUCAUGAAUAAGGGGCUCCUAACUCUGU